GCCCGGGUGGCGAAAUUGGUAGACGCAAGGGACUUAAAAUCCCUCGGGGGAAACUCCGUGCCGGUUCGAUUCCGGCCCCGGGCACCA
rnacentral:tRNA from 2 species